rnacentral:pre_miRNA from 16 species
AGCUGAAGAGAGCCGUCUAUUGACAGUUCGAUUCUGUUCAUUCGGUUACUGUCAUGGAGUCGCUCUCUUCAGAUGA